CAAGGAUCAUUAGUAGGUAUUACAAGAUUUAUUGGGUUUAGUAGUGUUUCAUUAGGCAGAAACAAGUUGGGUGAGGUUAAGUGGUUGUAUGUCAUAAAUAACCAUUGCGAAAGCGUUUUGAGUUCGUUAAGUGGAUGUUACAAGAGUUCUUAGUGGCUUUAAUUAGAUUGUUUUGCUUGCAAUAUUAAUAUACACACACACACACACACACACACACACACACACACAAAAUUAUCACAUGCACACCAAACACACACACAAAAAAAAAAAAAAAUUAUCACAUGCACACCAAACACACACACAUACACACACACCGGCCGUAGCGGAGAAGAUUGGGCGGUGUCCUCAGUCCUCACACCCACACCUUUGUCCACCCAGCAUAAGUGCAAUUCAGGAGAAGCUUUACCUGGUGCCUGGGCUUUUUGGAGGUAAAACUCCUGCCUCCUCAUGACCUGAGAUAGCUGAGCCACUGCGAGAGGCACGGGAAGAGGAUCUGAGGAGAUCCAGGAACAUGUGCUCAAGAGAUGAGUGGAGGGGCUGGGCCUUUGCUGGCCUGGUUGAGUGGAUCAAAUGCACUUCCUUGGGAGGUGUAGCCAGUGCCUCGCAUGCUAGUCAUGGGUCUUCGUAACCCAUCACUGGAACCACCUGUCUGCCCCAUAAAUUAUCAGUUAGGUCCCUGUUGAACUGUUCCAAGACGAGGUGCAGCACCUGUCAGCCGUAUGGCUGUGCCUGGUGUGCGGCUCUGUGUCUGUCAGUGGAAAUAUCAAGUGAUAGGUCAAAAUCAUAUAUUAUCAUUGGGCCUAUAAGACAGCAGAAUGAUUACCAAAAUGUAAGUUGACAACUUAUCAAAAACUAUAAAUAAGAGGGAAACUAACAAUUGACGUCCAACAAUAAAGUAUGAAAAGAUUAAUGCACUAAAAUAUUACAAGAAGGGAAACAUUUAAGACAUACAAAUAGAAUUGGGAUAAUGUUUAAAAUUCAGAUGAACUAUGAUUACUCUACAACAAUUUAAUGUUCAACAAAUGAGUAUCUUCAUGAUAAUGAUGACUAUCGAAAAAAGAAAAAUGUAUGUACAAUAUGUUCACAUUAAACAACCAUAAAUUACAAUAAAGCUUUUGGCUUAA
rnacentral:lncRNA from 1 species